UACAGAGAGGGUCAGCCACCGGACUAAGAUCACAUAGAAGUUUGGAGAAAAUGCAGGAUUGGACCUGUCUCUCUCUGAGGGGCCUUUUCUUCAGCCAUUCUGGGUGAGGUCAGCUGGUGCCUGGGCCUAGUGGGCCAGCGUGGCUGUUUUGUGUUGCUUUGGGGGGGAGGGACUUGGCCCUGCUCUGGUAGGAGGCGGCUUGCCUUUGGUUCUUUGAUGCUCUUUCUCUGGAACCCCUGGGGAAUGCCUGAGUCAUCGCUGAGCGGCAAACACAUUUAGCCUCUUUCAUCGUCCCUAAUAAAUCAACUUCUCCAUUUCUCUCAUACCUGCCUCCGACUCCAGGCUGCCUGCCCCCGUCUCCUGCCGCCCGACAUCUGGGCACUGCAGAGACUUCCAGCCCCCAGGUUCCUGGCAGUGGUCCCCUGGCCGUUUCCUCUCUCUCCCCAGGCAUUCUGGGCCAGGCAAGGCCUCCUCGUGCUGGGCUGGCCUGCAUUCAACAGCUGCGGCCCUGGAGCCCUUCAGCGCUUCCUGCACUUAGGAACUGCCUGGCAUGGAGGCGGCAGGGGAUUAGCAGCAUCCGCCCCAGCUCAGCCCUGACCCUGACCACCACCUCAGCGCCCUCUUGGCCCACAGGGGCUUGUGUUGGGGCCCAGGGAAGUUCCCCAAACAUCUUACCUCAUCCUGUCUCUCACAGGCCAGGUUGGCUGGAGGACCCCAGGCCUUUCCUGGGCUUGUAUUUCAUGGCACCUCUCUCAGGAAGCCUCCCGAUGACCUCCUUCCCUCCCUUGGUGGGCAGUCUGAGGAUCUGAAUGCUGAAGAAAUUGCUUCAGACGCGGAGAGAGUCAGCCCUUGAACCCAGGCCUCCUCCUGAGUGGCUCUCGUGGCUGCCCUUGCAGCCUCUCACAACUUGACGUGGUGCCUGGCUCAAGAACCUGCCCACCAAAGGCCUCCCUCCAGGAGGGAGACCUGGAGUUCGAGUCUUUACAGACAAGGAAAGAAGACCCCAAAGAAGCAGGAAGGUGACAGGAGGCGUUCAGUGUCCCGGCUGCUCUCACCUGAUGGCCUCAAUCCACUGGUCGCGCUCCUCGGCAUUGGCGGCUGAGAUGCGGGACAUCCAGCCCUCAGCUGCCCUAAGUAUGACCCUUGCUGGCUGUGUGACCUUGAGAAGAUGCCCUAACCCUGCCGAGUCUUGGCUUCCAGAGAAUAAACUACCCCAAAAUUGGGCUGUUCAAGGACCAGCACCUCAUGUUCAAUAGUCCUGAACAGAGGGACCCUGCUAGACUCUUCUUUCCGUCCUCUGGGAGAGAAACAGAACUGUCCGUGGAGCCUCUGUCCCCUACUGCUCCCUUACAUCCAGCCUCCCCCUGCCACCUGCACCCCCAAGACAGAUGGAUGGGUAAAAGGGUGACUGAUGCUCUCCUUUGCACUGGCUACACCCAUACCCUUGUGUGCCUUCUCCUGUGUUGCCCCAGGGCAGAGUGAGCAGGGUGGGUGCCUUAGGUUUGCACAUGGGGACACAGACACACAUCCCCACCCUCCCCGGGCACAGCAGCUGGAGUAGAGACUGCUUCAGGCGGUGCUGAUGUUGGGAGAUGCCCCUCUUCUACUUCGGUGGACAGUAGACCCUUCUAGAUCACACAUGCUGGGGCGAGGGUAGAGAAGGCCCUGGGGAGGAGGGAAUUGACUGCUUCAGGCUCAGAGGCCCCAGCAAGAGAGGUCCCCAGUGGAGUGCUGACCACAGUGUCUAUCCAGGAUGGGCUCUGAUUACAGGGGUUGGAAUGUAAAGGGUCCCCCAAGAGCUGACUUCAGUCCUCCGUGGAUAACUGUCUGGUAAAGCUGCUAUUAUACACAAGGUAUGACCCUGGAGGCUAGGGAUGGAACCUAGGUCCUUGAGCAUAUCUAGAGAAUCACUCCAGCAACUGAGUCACAUCCCCAGGUCAGCAUGGGCAUUUUAACAGCAGGGGAACUGAGUCACAAACUCAGCGGUGAUCAUAGGCUAGCUCUCUACUUACUGUAUCUUCUUCCAUUUCUUUCCUGACUCCAGAGGCUAAGAUCUGCAGAGCUGCCAGUCCCAGUGCUGGGGGAGCCCAGUGCCCCAAGGAGAUUCAAAACACUCUGGCAGGUCUGCACCCACUCCCUAGGGUAGGAGCUAUCUCAUCCUUGGCUUGCAUACCUUCCUUCCCCUGACAGAGGUCAUGGUGGCACAUAUCUAACGUGUUCCCGCUUGUUAAAGCCAAAAGGCAGUGUGCAGCCAUUACCGAUCAGUGCAUCUGGCUUUGCAGAAGUGUUUCUCAGUAUUGCAAUGGAUGAUUUCACACCUUUAUGUAUAUAUGGGUGGGUGGAUAGAUAGAUGGAUGGGUUGGUAGAUGAAUGGAUGCCUGACUCCCCUUUUUUACUGCCAUCCUGUCCUUUGUCCGGGGGUCCCCAUGGAGUACAGGCCUAAAGCUAGUUUUCCUGAGUCUACGUAGGUGUGGCUGGAGCAAGCCUUUAAUAUCCCUCGCAACCUCAUGUGGUGUGGGGGGUGAGAGAAAAGUGGGGAUCAGCUUCUCUUUGGCUGGGGUGGAGGUAGGGGUGCAUGGAUGUGGGGGUGGCAGUCUUUACCUUGGGAAUCCCCAGGUGGCCUAGCUGGUGGAAUCUGAGACAGGAAGGCCCUAGCAGGAGGUGAGCUGUCUGCUCAGACAAGUAUUAGCCAGGCCCAAGGAGGCUUCAGGGUGGCAGACGGGGCCUCAGCCUCUGCUAAACCCACAGGAGUACCUGGAAGUUUCUGCGGUCACAGUACCAUCGUGUGUAUUCCGCCUCACAGAAACAGCAGCACACCCACACUUCCUGUGUCUUGAAAACACCCUGAAGUCCCCGUCACUGAACAAACCACUGCACAGAGACCUCUCAGGGCCCUGGGUGUACAGCAUGGCCUUCUUUUCCCUGGGGCUCUGGUGCCCUGUCCCAGGAUCCCUUCUCCUCUCUUUUCUGUCUAGGUUGUUCAGUGUGUUGGGCACCCUCCUCCAUCCCCAGGUUCCGGGAGGGGACAGUGACUCCGCUUUGGCUGUGUAGAGCCUUGCAUCUUAUGUGCUACAGGGGCUAGUUUAGAUAGAAACACGUGACCCCAACCAGUCACUAGGACUUAAUUCCAGGGGUUUAAUUUUUCCGGGAGAAGCUAUCGGCCUAGAGCUGCUUGGGCAUCUUUGCAGUAGCCAGGGUCCAAGAGACAGCCAGUGUGCAAGUCCAGCUUGCUGUGACAUGCAGCCUCCUCAGGCCACCGAGCCCCUGGAUCUCGCCACACCCAAAGCCAACAGUCUGAAGGCAAAGGGAUCCCUUGAUAUUCUUAGAGAUAUUAGUUGUGAUUCUCCCAGUCAGUGUGGCAGGACAGAUAAGGCAUGAGGAGACAUCACAAUUUACAUACGGGGCCGGAGAGAUGGCUCAGUGGUUAGGAGCACUGGCUGCCCUUCCAGAGGACCCAGGUUCAAUUCCCAGCACCCACAUGGCAGCUCACAACUGUCUGUAACUCAGAUUCCAGUGAAUCCGACUCCCUCACAAAGAUGCAGGUCAACACCAAUGCAUAUAAAAAUAAAUUAAAAAAAAGAAUUAAAAAAAUUUACAUAUGAUGGACCAGCAAGAUGGGUCAAUGGGUAGAGGCAAUUGCUGCCUAGCUGAAGACCUGAGUUCAUUUCUUUGGAGGGAAAGAACCAGCUCCUGAAAGUUGUCCUCUGACCUACAUACAUGUACAGAACACAUAUGAGAAGACCCUCCAUCUCCAAAUGGUGGAGAAGGUGUGAGGGACCCCGAAGGAAGAGGACUUGGUGGCCUGUAGCCCUUGACUCUCAGUCCUGUCCCAGCUCUCUCGCCCACCUCCAUUCCCAGAAAUGCUUUUUCCUUCCUUAAUAAACUCUAUUUCUAUCACGA